AAGGCUUUAAGUUAAAUAAACUCAUAGCCUUCAAAGCUGUAAAUAAAGGACAUUCCUUUAAGCUUUA
rnacentral:tRNA from 1 species